GGUUUGACCCAUUGGGCGGGCAUCGUUUGAUCCUGCACUUAAGAGGCGAAUGCAAACAGGAAGGGCGCUCGCGCUGUACUUAAGAGUCGACCAAAAUUCCAAGAUCCCUUCAGAUUGCAGGUUGAAGAAUUUCCUUGGGUGCAGGUGUGUUCCUAUCAUUGGCAGAAGACCCGCUAAGUUUGAGCCAGGAGAACUGAACAAACCAGGAUAGGGAAAGUAUCCAUCGGCUUGAACCUGAUGAAAUGGAUGCUAAUCUGCUUCAGUUUAGACCAAAGCACUUUUCUGUGUCUCUGUGCCAACAGGCUUUAAUUGUUUUCACUGAUGUUAAUGUCACACAGGAAUGUACAUUUAUAAAACAAUAACUUUGCUUUACAAGCAUAGCUGUUAACAUUAAAGGACUUGCAUUUUGACUUAAAAUGUU